rnacentral:rRNA from 1 species
GACGAACGUUGGCGGCGUGCUUAAUACAUGCAAGUCAACUGAAGCAGUGGUAGCAAUAUCGCUGUGGAGGUGUCGCACGGGUGAGUAACACGUAGGUAAUCUGCCUUCAGGUCUGGCAUAACUCCGGGAAACCGGGGCUAAUAGCAGAUGAUGCAGCGGCUCGACAUCGAGACAGUUGUUAAAGCUAUGGCGCCUGAAGAUGAGCCUGCGUCUGAUUAGCUAGUUGGCGGGGUAACGGCCCACCAAGGCAACGAUCAGUAGCUGGUCUGAGAGGAUGAUCAGUCACAGUGGAACAGAGACACGGUCCAGACUCCUACGGGAGGCAGCAGUAAGGAAUAUUGAUCAAUGGGAGAAAUCCUGAAGCAGCAGCGCGGCGUGAGGGACGAAGGGCUUUUGCUUGUAAACCUCUGUAGUGAGAGAAAAAAAUCCCAAUCUUUGGGACAUGAUGGUAUCUCAAAAGUAAGCCCCGGCUAACUACGUG